UUAGGAAUCUUGGACAAUGGGCGCAAGCCUGAUCCAGCCAUGCCGCGUGAGUGAUGAAGGCCCUAGGGUUGUAAAGCUCUUUCAGCGGGGAAGAUAAUGACGGUACCCGCAGAAGAAGCCCCGGCUAACUUCGUGCCAGCAGCCGCGGUAAUACGAAGGGGGCUAGCGUUGCUCGGAAUCACUGGGCGUAAAGCGCACGUAGGCGGAUCUUUAAGUCAGGGGUGAAAUCCUGGAGCUCAACUCCAGAACUGCCUUUGAUACUGAGGAUCUCGAGUCCGGAAGAGGUGAGUGGAACUCCGAGUGUAGAGGUGAAAUUCGUAGAUAUUCGGAAGAACACCAGUGGCGAAGGCGGCUCACUGGUCCGGUACUGACGCUGAGGUGCGAAAGCGUGGGGAGCAAACAG
rnacentral:rRNA from 1 species